AGAGAGAGACAUGCGCGCAUAUCAAUAAGCGGAGGAAAAGAAACUAACAAGGAUUCCCUUAGUAACGGCGAGUGAAGCGGGAAGAGCUCAAAUUUGAAAUCUUCAAGGUUCUACCUUGACGAAUUGUAGUUUAAAGAAGUGUUUUCUGCUGAAGUUUUGGUAAAAGUUCUCUGGAAUAGGACAUCAUAGAGGGUGAGAAUCCCGUAUUUGAUCCAUUCCUUCUAGCUUUGUGAUACACUUUCAAAGAGUCGGAUUGUUUGGGAAUGCAGUCCAAAAUGGGUGGUAAAUUUCAUCUAAAGCUAAAUAUUGGCGAGAGACCGAUAGCGAACAAGUACCGUGAGGGAAAGAUGAAAAGAACUUUGAAAAGAGAGUUAAACAGUACGUGAAAUUGUCAAAAGGGAAGCGUUUGACACCAGUGUUGUUUUCUCGAAAAUCAAUUAAAAAUGGCUCGAUUUUGUAUUGUUGAGACCUUAAAAGCUCACUGUACAUUUUUCGUGUCUUUUUUAAUGCACUUUUCGUUUAACAAGUCAACAUCAGUUUCUUUUGUUGUAAAAGGGUCAUUGGAAGGUGGCUUUCUUUUCGGAGAAAGUGUUUAUAGCCUUUGGCCUCUGCAAUCGGAGAGACUGAGGUCUGCAGCGUAGACUCUUCGGGGUUAGAUACAUUUGUGCUAAGUUAUAGCUUUUUAUAGACAACUUGUUGACUAUAAUUAGUCUUGUAGCUUACUCGCUUAUGCUAUUUUACCUACGCUUAGGAUGUUGAGUCGUAGAGCACGCAG
rnacentral:rRNA from 1 species